GGGUCGUUAGCUCAGUUGGUAGAGCAGUUGACUUUUAAUCAAUUGGUCGCAGGUUCGAAUCCUGCACGACCCAC
rnacentral:tRNA from 10 species